CUCAAUGGUGGCUCAGGCGGGGCUGACUUAGGUCAGGCCGGUAUCCAGUAGAACCGGUGUUGAGAACCCCGUCAGGGCUACCACCAGC
rnacentral:antisense_RNA from 1 species